GAUAAACGCUGGCGGCGUGCCUAAUACAUGCAAGUCGAGCGAACUGAUUAGAAGCUUGCUUCUAUGACGUUAGCGGCGGACGGGUGAGUAACACGUGGGCAACCUGCCUGUAAGACUGGGAUAACUUCGGGAAACCGAAGCUAAUACCGGAUAGGAUCUUCUCCUUCAUGGGAGAUGAUUGAAAGAUGGUUUCGGCUAUCACUUACAGAUGGGCCCGCGGUGCAUUAGCUAGUUGGUGAGGUAACGGCUCACCAAGGCAACGAUGCAUAGCCGACCUGAGAGGGUGAUCGGCCACACUGGGACUGAGACACGGCCCAGACUCCUGCGGGAGGCAGCAGUAGGGAAUCUUCCGCAAUGGACGAAAGUCUGACGGAGCAACGCCGCGUGAGUGGUGAAGGCUUUCGGGUCGUAAAACUCUGUUGUUAGGGAAGAACAAGUACGAGAGUAACUGCUCGUACCUUGACGGUACCUAACCAGAAAGCCACGGCUAACUACGUGCCAGCAGCCGCCGUAAAAC
rnacentral:rRNA from 1 species